UCUCCCAAUUAAUUUAAAUAAUUGUUUUAUUGAUCACUCAAUUAAUAAUAAACUAAUUAAUAGAGUGUUACUACAACAAAAGCGGUCUAUAGCGAUACUUUUAAAUAUAGGUAUAUGUCAAAAAAGUGCUGCUAGCUAAAAUUACCGACACUUUUAAAAAGUGUUGCUAUAUGAGGGGUCGCUAGGUAUAUAGUGACAGUUAAAAAGUGUCGCUAUAACCUAAAAGAGUGCUGCUAAUUUACCAACACUUAUUUAAGUAUUUAGCAACUGCCGAAACUCUAUCUCAUUGGCUGCGGUGGCGGAGGAGGAUGACAGGAAAGGCUUUUCGUCUAGAAUUUCAGUGGAUUGAGUGAAGAAAGAAGAAAAGAUGGUAAUUGAUUUUUCUUUUUUUUUUCUUUUCUGUUUGUAAUCGGGUCAAAUGGACUGGGUGUGGUGGGUUGAGUAGAGUAAUCUUUUAUUUUUGGUUGGAUUGGGCUUUAUAUUUAGGCAUAAGCAGAUGUUUUUUUAAGUUUUAGCAUAAAUGGGACACUUACUCAGAAGUGUCCCAAACAAGUGUCCCUAUAACCUAAUUUUGUUGUAGUGUGUUGG
rnacentral:lncRNA from 1 species